rnacentral:lncRNA from 1 species
UGCUUAAACUACCACUUUAAUAAGACAUUAGGAGAAACCAUCCAAUUAUACAGAACUUGGUCUGCGUCUCCAAUGUUAACCCAUUCCCUAUAUAGUGCCUGCUGUGUGACCAGAGCUCUAUGGGGCUUUUCUACGGACCCUGUUCAAAGUAUUCACUAUAAUAUAGGGAAUAGUGAGCCUUUUGAGACACACACACUUAAGACAUGGUUUGUCUGGCUCACAGAUGGCUGCCGUUGCUAUGAACUGCGGGCUACGCGGGCAUCCUUCCGUUGCUAUGAUACUGGGGCUACGCUGGCAUCCAUCCUGUUGCUAUGAUACUGGGGUCUACACUGGCAUCCAUCCUGUUGCUAUGAAACUGGGGCUACACUGGCAUUCCAUCAUGUUACUAAGAACGUGGGGCUACACUGGCAUCCAUCCUGUGCUAUGAAACGUGGGGCUACACUGGCAUCCAUCAUGUUACUAUGAAACGUGGGCUACACUGGCAUCCAUCCUGUUGCUAUGAAACUGUGGGCUACGCUGGCAUCCUUCCUGUUGCUAUGAAACUGUGGGCUACACUGGCAUCCAUCCUGUUUGCUAUGAUACGUGGGCUACACUGGCAUUAUAUUCCCUUUACAGUGGGCCCCAUAGGGAGCCAUUGGGGAGGCAGGCCAAGUAUCUCCUUAUUUAUGGCACUUGGCACCCUAUUCUACAUAGUGCACUACUUUUGA